rnacentral:rRNA from 1 species
UACGGGGGGGGCAAGCGUUGUUCGGAAUUACUGGGCGUAAAGCGUGCGCAGGCGGUGAUGUAAGACAGUUGUGAAAUCCCCGGGCUCAACCUGGGAACUGCAUCUGUGACUGCAUCGCUGGAGUGCGGCAGAGGGGGAUGGAAUUCCGCGUGUAGCAGUGAAAUGCGUAGAGAUGUGGAGGAAUACCGAUGGCGAAGGCAGCCCCCUGGGAUAACACUGACGCUCAUGCACGAAAGCGUGGGGAGCAAACAGG